UUACAGAGGUCUCAAGCGUUGUUCGGAUUCAUUGGGCGUAAAGGGUGCGUAGGUGGCGCCGUAAGUCGGGUGUGAAAUUUCGGAGCUUAACUCCGAAACUGCAUUCGAUACUGCGGUGCUUGAGGACUGGAGAGGAGACUGGAAUUCAUGGUGUAGCAGUGAAUGCGUAGAGAUCAUGAGGAAGACCAGUGGCGAAGGCGGGUCUCUGGACAGUUCCUGACGCUGAGGCACGAAGGCCAGGGGAGCAAACGGG
rnacentral:rRNA from 1 species